UAUAACACGAUUUCUUCCCAUCCGUAAUGAGUAGUAAAUGAUAACUCUAAUUCUUUUCGAUUCUGUAUAUAUUAGAAUCAAACUACCGCCUCUCCACCCCCACAGCCUCGGAAAUAUCAAUCAGUAUCCGCGUAUAGAGUCACCUCUAUCUCUGGCCAAGUAGUCUGCGACUCUGCUUACAAUCAAUCUUCUACUCCAAGCAUUUCCAUCCAACUAAAUCAGCAGAAGUUCGACUGGACACAUAUGGGGUGGUUGCUUAAGCCGGCGGCUCCUUUGUUACUGAUGCUGUUUUUAGUAAGUUUCGGAUGGCAGGACGAGAAAUUUAGCAGUGCAGGAGCCAUCAGGCCACUCCCCCUUUUACCUCAACAGAAAUACUCAAAGAUUUUCGCUAGCCUUGGAGUUGUUUGCAAGUGUUGUGAUGGUGCAGCAGCUUCAGAUGGGGAACAUUGUGCAACUACAUGGACUGGGGCUUGCUCCAAUCUUCAGUGCCUUCCAUGGAAAUUGCAGUAGUUAGAAGUUAGAACUGGUGUACAAAAUCUCAAUUUUCAUUUUCAACUACAUGGACUGGGCUUUGCUCCAAUCUUCAGCGCCUUCCAUGGAAAUUGCAGUAGUUAGAACUGGUGUACAAAAUCUCAAUUUUCAUUUUCAACAUCUUCUUGUCUGCCUUUACAGAUCGUGAUUUCGACUCAUAGAUCCUAUUUUAUACACUAUCACGAUUAGAUGUCC